UCCCUUGUGGCUCAGCUGGUAAAGAAUCCGCCUGCAAUGCGGGAGACCUGGGUUCGAUCCCUGGUUUGGGAA
rnacentral:tRNA from 1 species